GAUUUCUGGCCUGAUGUGCCUGGCCCGUCUGGGUUACCAGAUGUGUGCCGGGAUAUGUCUGCCAUCCUUCCAGAUAAUGUCGUUGCUCUUCACUGAGUGGACGGCAAAGUCUGGAUCUUUUACUUUGAAAAAAUUAGAGUGUUUCAAGCAGGCUUUAUGCUAUGAAUACAUUAGCAUGGAAUAAUAAUUUAGGACUUCGGUUCUAUUUUGUUGGUUUCUAGGACUGAAGUAAUGAUUGAUAGGGAUAGUUGGGGGUGCUAGUAUUCAGCGGCCAGAGGUGAAAUUCUCGGAUUCGCUGAAGACUAACUUAUGCGAAAGCAUU
rnacentral:rRNA from 1 species